AACGGUGCUGAGACUCUGGGUCACCUCCCACCCGUGUUUAUUUUACCUUGUUGCUUCGGCGGGCCCGCCUUAACUGGCCGCCGGGGGGCUUACGCCCCCGGGCCCGCGCCCGCCGAAGACACCCUCGAACUCUGUCUGAAGAUUGUAGUCUGAGUGAAAAUAUAAAUUAUUUAAAACUUUCAACAACGGAUCUCUUGGUUCCGGCAUCGAUGAAGAACGCAGCGAAAUGCGAUACGUAAUGUGAAUUGCAAAUUCAGUGAAUCAUCGAGUCUUUGAACGCACAUUGCGCCCCCUGGUAUUCCGGGGGGCAUGCCUGUCCGAGCGUCAUUGCUGCCCUCAAGCACGGCUUGUGUGUUGGGCCCCGUCCUCCGAUCCCGGGGGACGGGCCCGAAAGGCAGCGGCGGCACCGCGUCCGGUCCUCGAGCGUAUGGGGCUUUGUCACCCGCUCUGUAGGCCCGGCCGGCGCUUGCCGAUCAACCCAAAUUUUUAUCCAGGUUGACCUCGGAUCAGGUAGGGAUACCCGCUGAACUUAAGCAUAUCAAUAAGCGGAGGAA
rnacentral:rRNA from 1 species